rfam:Triticum aestivum genome assembly, contig: Triticum_aestivum_CS42_TGACv1_scaffold_602552_7DL
GUUCAUUGCUCAGUUGGUAAAGAACAAGGCUCUUAACCUUGUGGACGUGGGUUCAAACCCUACAAUGGAGG